AUGCAUCCCGCGUCGUCUCUGAGAGGCAACUCGGGCGGGCACCCCGCCGGCCGCUGCCACACAAUCUCCACGAGCCACCGCCCCACUCGCGCCGCCGGCAAAACGACGUCGGGCAAAGCCCGUCGACGGCUGGCGGCGGCGGGAUCCGCCCCGCGCGCGUGCUCUGGUCCUGCCGCCCCCUCCCCUCGUCCGCAUCGGGGGCGCCGGAUCUGGCCUGGUGCUUCCCUCUGGCCGCUCCUCGGGGGUCGACCGACUCCCUCCUUUCAGAUCGGGCCGGCGCGCCGCGGCUGCGGGCUUCCGGCAACCUCGGGUGGCUCCGGUGGCCUGGCCUCGAGGCUGCCUCGGCGGCCGUUGCCUGCUGAGCUGGGCGCGGCGUCCCCUGCUCCACGCUCUUGCGCAGGCCUCCGCCGCCUCCCACCCUCAAGCUCGCGUCAUCGACCGCCUGCUGCGCGCUCUCUCGUCUUCCGCAGAUCCAGUUGUCGCGUCUUCCGCCCCCACCCUGUUCGUCGUUGUCGUGCUCCUUUGCGUGCUUGCCAAACGAAGGUGGCGUCGUGGCUCCUGCUCCUUGGAGCCCUCCACCUCCCAGUUCCCCCGAUGGGCUGCCGCUGUCUCGUAGCCUUUCCUGCUGGGGGCGCCGCACCGGUGCUCCUCACCAGUGGCCUCGGCGUCAAGGGUGCCUGCCGGUGUCUCUGCCGGUCGGAUUCACCUGGAUCUGGGGCCGUCCAUUUUCGGCGCUACCACGCGCUAUUGGCGGCUGCUCUGCGUCUCGUCGCAUGGAGGAUGUGA
rnacentral:rRNA from 1 species